rnacentral:rRNA from 1 species
GAUGAACGCUAGCGGCAGGCUUAAUACAUGCAAGUCGUGGGGCAGCAUGACUGUAGCAAUACAGUUGAUGGCGACCGGCAAACGGGUGCGGAACACGUACACAACCUUCCUUUAAGUGGGGAAUAGCCCAGAGAAAUUUGGAUUCAUACCCCGUAACAUAGUGAAAAGGCAUCUUUUUAUUAUUAUAGCAGCAAUGCGCUUAAUGAUGGGUGUGCGGCUGAUUAGAUAGUUGGCGGGGUAACGGCCCACCAAGUCUGGGAUCAGUAACUGGUGUCGGUGCACGAGCAGUCAGACGGGAACUGAGAGUCGAGCCCGACUCCUACGGGAGGCAGCAGUAAGGAAUAUUGGUCAAUGGACGCAAGUCUGAGCCAGCCAUGCGGCGUGGAGGAUGAAGGUCCUCUGGAUUGUAAACUUCUUUUAUAUGGGACGAAAAAAGGUCUUUCUAGAUCAACUGACGGUACCAUAUGAAUAAGCACCGGCUAACUCCGUGCCAGCAGCCGCAGUAACAC